AGGAGCAGCAGUGGGAUUGCCUUUUCGAAGAGCUUUCUCUUCUAUCUCAGCCCAACAGACGACCCCUUGUUUGUAUACGGGAAAUGUAGAAAGUUUAUGGAGAAACCUCAUCAAAUUCGUCUUCACCGCUACCAAACAUCAUCCGAAAUGGAAUCUACCCAAGAAGAGUGAUAGUAAUGCUUGUUCAAUGCGGUAAAAGCCUUGACCUUACUUUGUGGAUUGGAAAGAGAUUUUUGGAAACGGACUUAGGAAAAGCGAGGAAGGAGGUAUUCGAUCUGUUGGGUUCCAUUCCUGAUCUGUUCAACAUUUGUGAAAUUCUAGCCCACAAGGUGGAACACUUGGAGAUAUUCAUUACGUUCUACGCCUCCUCAAUUCUAAGUAACAAAUAUGAUCCAAUAAUGUCAAGAUAAAUUGGAAAUCUGAUGCCACCAUGUCAAAUACAUGGCAAAACUAUUUUCAUGACAACUUUUGGUUGGGAGUUUCUGUGAUUAUUUUGCCUCAUGAUUUUAGCAAUUAGUGUCACAAAAUAUUUUAUCCUAGAGGAUUGCUUGGUUAUAUUUCCUGUACGUGGAAAUAUUUUUUACUAGAUUUUUAGCAAUCAGUUUUAUAUACAUAAUAAUUAUAUGUUUGGAUUUCUUUCUAUUUAGUUACUUGUGUUUGAGUUUCUA